UCACAGACAUUUUUCGGGCUCGUGGAUAUGAUGCGGGCUCAUGGACAUGAGGCAGGCUCUGAGACAUGAUGCAGGCUCAGGGAGAUGAUGCGGGCUUGGGGAGAUGACGUGGGCUUGGGGAGAUGAUGUGGGCUUCUGGAGAUGACACAGGCCUGCAUAGAUGGUGCAGCCUCCGGAUAUGACGCGGGCUUGGGGAGAUGACUGAAGAGGCUCAUCACCUUCACCAAUGCCCUCCUUAUCGCCAAACCCAAUGUAUCUCCAACCUCAAACUUCUCUGACUCUCAGUAGCUUUUGACACAGUUGACCACUAGCCUCUUUUGAAACUUCUGAUUCUACGAUUCCUUAUUCUCAUCCCACUUAUUCUCCAAUGUGAAUAGCCUCUCUUUUUAAGUCUUGUUUACUAAGUUCUCCUUCUCUACUCAGUCAUUAAAGUUUGGUCCCCCUCACAACUGGGUCCUGGGUCUUCCUCUCAACAGUGUCUUCUGUAUCUAAAUAUUCUCACCUACUCUAAUGUCUUCACUUACAUUGUCUAUGUCACAGCUCCUAAAUAAAUAUCUUCAGCUAAAUCUCUCUCCCUAGCUCCAAAGUCACAUUUUUUCAACCACACACUUCCCAUCUCCACUGGAUGCCUCUCACAGAUAGCUCCACAUCCAUAUGUCCAAAACGGAACUCCAGAUUAUCACCUCGAAGCUGUGGUUUCUUCUCCAAUCGCAUUCCUGGUUCUCCCCCUAUAUUAACAAAUGGGGGGUCCCAUUCAUCCAGGAACCAAAAUUAGAAAUCUAGACGUUACUCUUGGCUCUUUCCUCUUGCUCAGCUCUUACCUCCAGUUCAAUUCAUCAUAGAUUCUAUUUCCAAAUAUAUUUCCAUUUCUUUUCCUUCUCUCCAUGUCUAGUACCCUGGGUGUCCACCAUGAAAAAGAAGGAGCAGAAAGGAUCGUGGACCGGUCCAGGCUUCUGCGAUCCCAGUCUCUUGGGAUGCUCUCAGCUCUGGAUUCCCCGGGCGGGCAGGGUUCUGGGAUAUAUUCAUUCAUAUCCAUUCUACUCCUUGAGUUUGUGCUGUAACUGCAGUUACACAUGUGAGAAAAGUCCAGGGUUGAAGAGCUAAACAGGAAGAUGUAUAGGUAAAGAGGUCAAGCUAGUUUUCUUCCAUCCUCAAGCCUUAUCUCCAAAGACCCUCAGUAAUUCAAAUUAACCUAACCCAUUAAAAUGCACAUGUUUUCUUUUAACAUCUUUAGAAUUAGGAGCGCAACCAGAAUUUUGAUUUCACAAAACAGAAACGAGUAAGAGAAAUCUCACCGGGUCAGAAAGAGUAGUUCUAACCGUUCGUGUUCUUCUGCUGAACAACCAGCAGAGGGCAAACAAGAUGACAAAUAGAACAAGAGGAACCCCAAGGCAGACAGGAGGGGCUUUGCAUCCAAGUUCACAGAGAACCUAAGUGCAAAAAUGAGCCCUAACUCAAGAGCUUAGCAAGGUGUAAAUACAGUCUUGAGCAUGAGUUUGAGUUAACCCUGGCAUUUCCAACUUGCUUCCAGAAGAUUUUAGUCUGUGAUAGAGAUUAAAUCCUUUGCAACCAGGACUUACUCAGAUCACAGUCUCCUAGAGACCAGUUUUGGAAAGGGAGGUAUUCAGAUGUAUCAAGGUGGGGGGCAGAAAACCAGCAUAUUUAUUACUCAAAUGGUAAGACUUCAUAUGCAUGUAGCAACUAGACCCUAACUCCCCCAAACACUUAUGGAAUCACAAUGUCCUUAAAUUUGAAAAAGAAAGAAAUCAAGAGAUGGAAAAUUGAUUUUCAUACACCCUAGGUUCAAAAUGAAGGCACAUAGAAGCAUUAUGGAAAGAAGAGAAUUUCAUAACUCUUGAUGUUAGGUAAAGGUGUGAAUGUUCUAUUAAGAACAUUAAAU